GCGCCGUUGGUGUAGCGGUAACACACAAUCUGAAUUUGCCGAGAAACGAUGUAAUUGAGGUUGAGUCCUGGGUUCGACUCCCAGACGGCGCA